rnacentral:rRNA from 1 species
UACGGGGGGGGCAAGCGUUGUUCGGAAUUACUGGGCGUAAAGGGCGCGCAGGCGGCCAUCUAAGUCGGACGUGAAAUCCCUCGGCUUAACCGAGGAACUGCGUCCGAUACUGGAAGGCUUGAAUCCGGGAGAGGGAUGUGGAAUUCCAGGUGUAGCGGUGAAAUGCGUAGAUAUCUGGAGGAACACCGGUGGCGAAGGCGGCAUCCUGGACCGGCAUUGACGCUGAGGCGCGAAAGCCAGGGGAGCAAACGGG